CUUGAGUGCAGUGGCGUGAUCUUGGCUUACUGCAACCUCCGCCUCCCAGUUUCAAGCGAUUCUCCUGCCUCAGCCUCUUGAGUAGCUGGGACUACAGGCACCAGCCAUCACGCCCAGCUAAUUUUUUGUAUUUUUAGUAGAGACACGGUUUCGCCAUGUUGGCCAGGUUCGUCUUGAGUUCCUGACCUCAGGUGAUCUGCCCGCCUCGGCCUCCCAAAGUGCUGGGAUUACAGGCAUGAGCCAUCGCACCGGCCUGCUCUUCUUUUAAAAAAGUUUUUCUAUCUUUUUUUUGUUUUUUUUGGUGGUUGCUUCGAACUUUAUUUGAGAAAAACAGAAGAUAAACGUAUCAAAAGAACACACAGACCGUUAGUUCCCUGAGUGAAGAGAUGCUAUCUUGGUAUCUCCAGCUUCCAACCGGGGGCUUGGCACAGAAUAGGGGCUUGGUAAAUGUUUUCCAAAUGAAUGGGAUGUCUGAUGGAAAGAAGACAAGGUGAAGGAAUUCCUGGGUAAUAUGGAGAUGAGAAUCUGUGAGAAGGAUACAUGUACUGAUGCCUGUCGCGGUGGACACACAGACGCACACAUUGCGGAACACCACCAUAAGAAUAUUGAGAAUAUCGAGAACACUUCAAUAUUCCAAACUUCAAUGGAAAUAUACGAACUGGAGUACACUCUUCUUCUGCCCUUGGACAUCAGGCUCUCUGGCCUUUGGACUCCAGGACUUAUACCAGCGCCCCUCUGGGUUCUCAGGCCUCUGUACUUGAACUGAGCCACACUGCCAGCAUGCCAGCUUCUCCAGCUUGCCAGGCCUGCUGUGGGACUUCUCAGCCUCCAUAAUCAUGUGUGCCAAUUCCCCUAAUAAAUCUCCUCUCAUCUGUCCACGUAUCUAUAUUUGCAUUCUGUUGGUUCUGUCUCUCUAGAAAAGUAUUACUAAUACACAGGUAGAGGAAGUCCCCAAGAAGAAUACUGAACUGACACCAAU
rnacentral:lncRNA from 1 species